rnacentral:misc_RNA from 1 species
GAUGAAGAACGUAGCGAAAUGCGAUAAGUAAUGUGAAUUGCAGAAUUCAGUGAAUCAUCGAAUCUUUGAACGCACAUUGCGCCCGCCAGUAUUCUGGCGGGCAUGCCUGUUCGAGCGUCAUUACAACCCUCAGGCCCCCGGGCCUGGCGUUGGGGAUCGGCGGAGCCCCCCGUGGGCACACGCCGUCCCCCAAAUACAGUGGCGGUCCCGCCGCAGCUUCCAUCGCGUAGUAGCUAACACCUCGCGACUGGAGAGCGGCGCGGCCACGCCGUAAAACACCCAACUCUUCUGAAGUUGACCUCGAAUCAGGUAGGAAUACCCGCUGAACUUGAGCAUAUCAAUAAGCGGAGGA